rnacentral:lncRNA from 1 species
GGGAGCGCUUGUGCACGAUCAUCAUGGUGAACCAGGGGAUGCUGCCCGACAGCACACCCAUCACUAUGGCGGCCCAUCCCUGCACCAAACCUGAGUAAUAACAGAGCUUUUGAGAUCCAUUUCUCUGCUAAUCCAAAGAACAGGUAAGUAACUAAUGCUCAAAUGUUCUCAGACUUUUCAUGCAGAGUUAAAGAGGUAAUUGGUGGUUCAAAGAAGCUGAAGCAGGAAGAUGUAAUCAUGAUGGUGGCAGACAAUUCAAUGAAUUCUGCUACUGAUGAGGAUGAUAUCUCCCUUUACUGGUACAGUAAGACAUCCCAAUCAAGCCAGCCUUUUGAAACCAUCUUCCACUUCUAUGCACUCCGAUUGGAUGUUUCAGAAGGGAGGAAAGCAGUCGGAAACAGCUGCAUCAGACAACUGAGAAGAUGCUGGCGAUGAUGCAUUAACACUAAAGCAUUUCCCCGAGACUCACGUCAACCAUGAAAAGCGAUGGCUGCUGUGGGCGGUUUUAUAUCUUCUGGAAAUCUUUCUCCAACUUUGAAAAGUCCAAAGGAAAUCACCAGUGAAGAUGACUUCUUUCACAAGAGUAUCGUGAAUCAUCCAG